CAAAAAAGCGAUAGCAUCCCGGACAGUACUUCCAGUAUAGGACAGCACCUAAAACGACAUAGGAAGCACUUGCCGAAUAAACUACAAGCUCCAGAGCAUCGUGAGUCACAGAUUCAAAAAUUCUUAACUUACCAACUCCCAAAAUCACGGCGACGGUAAGGACUACGUCAAAAUGUCGAAAAUGUUAAGAGACGAUGUAAUAUCUGCAAAAUUCGUUAUGCUUCUUGAUGGGGAAAGUGCUAUUUGCCGAGCAGCAGGUGGUCCAUGAUGAUAGCAGCAUUUAAAGCGGUUCUGUACCAAGAAGAUUAACGAUUGCCACAGAUAUACUUCUGUAAAGAUACCAACGAGAUAAAUACCUGCUAUAUGAAGUCGUUGAAAGAUACUCCCGAUUUAAAAGCUAAAUCUACUGAAAGUACAGGUGCAUUUCAGUGGCGCCAUUUCUAUGCCUGGUGCGACAACGGUUUCAUAAACAUGUUAUCGAAAAAUUCAUCAUCUUGUGGCCAAAAAGCAAGUUUUAUCAAUUUGUAUAAUACCCAUUCCACAUGUUUGGAUAAUUACAACCUGGUAUUUUCCGAUCCUCAGCAGAAUCAACUUGCACUAAAUGUGGAUGCACCAGUAAAAGAAGUUUCAUUAUCUUGUGCAUAAAAAAUUAAAGAUUGAGUGAUCCUAUUAAUUACUGUAAUGCACAUCUUUCAGGCAUAGAAGGCAGUAUGAUAUCUUCCAAUAUCCUACACAUGUUAUAAAAUAAUGCUGAGACAGUUCUGGAUAAAGUAGUGUGUGGACGGCAUUCUCGUAAAAAAGAAACAGCAGAAGCUGAAUCACACGUAUAAAGUAAAAUGGAAUCUAUAGUUUGUGCGUUACAAUUUGAUACCAAUCGCAUUUGAAAAUGAAUAUCCAAACACAACACGACUAAGGAAAUACGUAUAAUAUUUUGGUUAAAGUUCAUCAUACCAGUGUUCAGAAGUUUACUUCGUAAGGAGAGGACAGCUUCUCCAGGUUCCGCCCGGUUCGCGCCAAGAGUCGCGGCACGUGCAUGGAAACUGGUUCUGGAAAACCGGUCGAGAAGAAGCCUGACACCAGCUGACCUCAGAUGGAUAAGAAGAGGGGAAGGGGGAGGAAUAAGAAUAAUAAUGAGAAUUCACAUCGACAGCCUCGAAGAAGGAAAAUUCAAGCGACGUCAGUUGCUAGGGCUCCCAGAAACAUCAAUUUGGAUGGUGCGGGUUAGUCAAAAGGCUGAGAAAUAAACAAGGCGACACCAGACCCAUGCAAGAACUGGCACGUAAACUCAAGAGAAAUUAAUUUAAAUGCAUGUUGAUUAAUGCAUAUGCUAAGAAAAUGAAAACGUUGAAUCUUUCUAUCUAUAUGUAUGUAUAUGUAAGCAAAAUAUCACUGACUCAUCCCGAGAUCUCUGAAACUGUACAUCCGAUUGACUUGAAAUUUUGCAUAGUUACUCAUUCCCCGAUAUAGACACGCACUAAGAAAGGAUUUUACGUAAAUCCUGUCCAAAAUGGGUUUUUGUUAUACAAUAGAAUACACACACUUAUACAAUAGAAGUUUCUCAUACAUUUGGUUUCCAAAUCCAAGUUCAGAAUUUUCUUUUAUUGUCCCCAAAACUAGAUAUGAAAUACAAUGUUGCCAAUAAAUGCAUU